CACGUAGGGGGCGAGCGUUGUCCGGAUUUAUUGGGCGUAAAGAGCUCGUAGGCGGUUCGAUAAGUCGGGUGUGAAAACUCUGGGCUCAACUCAGAGACGCCACCCGAUACUGUUGUGACUUGAGUCCGGUAGGGGAGUAUGGAAUUCCCGGUGUAGCGGUGAAAUGCGCAGAUAUCGGGAGGAACACCAGUGGCGAAGGCGGUACUCUGGGCCGGGAACUGACGCUGAGGAGCGAAAGCGUGGGUAGCGAACAGG
rnacentral:rRNA from 1 species